GGAGCAAGGGGGGAGGAGAUUUCCGCGAAAACUUGACCAAUCUUCGUGCAGUUCGUCCCUACUUCUAGGUAACGAGGUUCGCAAUUUCCAUGCCCAACUUCUACUCACGAAGGCGAUGGAGAUCCUUCCGCCGAGGCAUAGCUACUCGAGUUGGAGAUCGAGUUGUAAGCGGUGGAGUAGAGGCAUGAGAAGCAGCUUUGCUUCUCUUCUUGUGGAUUAUGUUGGAGUCUCUUUCACUUUAUGAGAACUCUGUUAUUAAAGUCUUGCUUCCGCCACUGUUAAAGUGCGCAUGUUUAUUCUGAACCUUACUUAUGGUAUUGUAAACUAUUAUUACUGUAUAUCGGGAAACAAGUUAUCUAAAUAAAGUUAUGGUAUGUUUCCAAC